CUAAACGUUUCCGUCUAGUUGAAGUUGUAGAAAAAGCGGUUAUUAUUUAAUAACUAUUUCGGAACAACCAAUUUCCGAAGGGAGGUAACCUAAGUGAUCCAACAAGAAAG
rnacentral:rRNA from 1 species